CAACUUGUCAAGCUUCAGUCUUUCCUGCCACCUGUUGCCGAAGCUUACCUAUCCCAUGUCCUAUGUACAGAGGAUUCUGUUCUUAACCAGCGAUAUUUAUCAUUAGUUAUUCUGAUGACUGACUACACCUGCUAGUGUGUUCUCAGGAAUGUGACAUGCUGGCUCUUUGGUACAGAAGAUAAGAACACAAGAGAUAAAGGGUACAAGUGGAGAUUGUCAUCAUGCCUGAUAAUUGGGGGUCAUGAAAGCCCAGAAGAUUCAGAGCUGCUCCUUGUCAGAAUAAGCGGGGAAGCUUCCUGCUCAGGAAUGAGGAUUCCUGAAAUCAAUUAUUUUAAACUCAAUUUCACUAACGAGAGACAUGAAGUUAACAACUAAGAUCAACUUGCCAGCUUCUGUGUCCAGGCCUCCCUGCAGGAGGCAGAAAACCAGCAGGAUAAAUUAAUAGGCAGAACUCAAAACAAACAAAUAAACGAAAGCACUGUGGAAAUUCA
rnacentral:lncRNA from 1 species